rnacentral:rRNA from 1 species
AGUGAACGCUGGCGGCAGGCCUAACACAUGCAAGUAGAACGGCAGCACAGAGGAGCUUGCUCCUUGGGUGGCGAGUGGCGGACGGGUGAGGAAUACAUCGGGAUCUGCCUAUUUGUGGGGGUUAACGUAGGGAAACUUACGCUAAUACCGCAUACGACCUACGGGUGAAAGCGGAGGACCUUCGGGCUUCGCGCAGAUAGAUGAGCCGAUGUCGGAUUAGCUAGUUGGCGGGGUAAAGGCCCACCAAGGCGACGAUCCGUAGCUGGUCUGAGAGGAUGAUCAGCCACACUGGAACUGAGACACGGUCCAGACUCCUACGGGAGGCAGCAGUGGGGAAUAUUGGACAAUGGGCGCAAGCCUGAUCCAGCCAUGCCGCGUGGGUGAAGAAGGCCUUCGGGUUGUAAAGCCCUUUUGUUGGGAAAGAAAAGCAGCCGGUUAAUACCCGGUUGUUCUGACGGUACCCAAAGAAUAAGCACCGGCUAACUCUGUGCCAGCCGCCGCCGUAAAAC